rnacentral:rRNA from 2 species
UGGGGAAUAUUGCGCAAUGGGCGAAAGCCUGACGCAGCAACGCCGCGUGUGUGAUGAAGGUCUUCGGAUCGUAAAGCACUGUCGGGAGGGACGAAUAAGGGCCGGAGUAAUAUGACGGUCUGAUGACGGUACCUCCAAAGGAAGCACCGGCUAACUCUGUGCCAGCAGCCGCGGUAAUACAGAGGGUGCAAGCGUUGUUCGGAAUUAUUGGGCGUAAAGCGCGUGUAGGCGGCCAGACCAGUCGGGUGUGAAAGCCCUCGGCUUAACCGAGGAAGUGCGCCCGAAACUAUCUGGCUUGAGUACCGGAGAGGAUGGUGGAAUUCCCGGUGUAGAGGUGAAAUUCGUAGAUAUCGGGAGGAACACCAGUGGCGAAGGCGACCAUCUGGACGGAUACUGACGCUGAGACGCGAAAGCGUGGGGAGCAAACAGG